rnacentral:rRNA from 1 species
GAUGAACGCUGGCGGCGUGCCUAAUACAUGCAAGUCGAGCGAACAGACGAGGAGCUUGCUCUUUCGACGUUAGCGGCGGACGGGUGAGUAACACGUAGGUAACCUACCUAUAAGACUGGGAUAACUUCGGGAAACCGGAGCUAAUACCGGAUAAUAUUUCGAACCGCAUGGUUCGAUAGUGAAAGAUGGCUUUGCUAUCACUUAUAGAUGGACCUGCGCUGUAUUAGCUAGUUGGUAAGGUAACGGCUUACCAAGGCAACGAUACGUAGCCGACCUGAGAGGGUGAUCGGCCACACUGGAACUGAGACACGGUCCAGACUCCUACGGGAGGCAGCAGUAGGGAAUCUUCCGCAAUGGGCGAAAGCCUGACGGAGCAACGCCGCGUGAGUGAUGAAGGUCUUCGGAUCGUAAAACUCUGUUAUUAGGGAAGAACAAACGUGUAAGUAACUGUGCACGUCUUGACGGUACCUAAUCAGAAAGCCACGGCUAACUACGUG